AGUGAACGCUGGCGGUAGGCCUAACACAUGCAAGUCGAACGGCAGCACAGUAAGAGCUUGCUCUUACGGGUGGCGAGUGGCGGACGGGUGAGGAAUACAUCGGAAUCUACUUUUUCGUGGGGGAUAACGUAGGGAAACUUACGCUAAUACCGCAUACGACCUACGGGUGAAAGCAGGGGAUCUUCGGACCUUGCGCGAUUGAAUGAGCCGAUGUCGGAUUAGCUAGUUGGCGGGGUAAAGGCCCACCAAGGCGACGAUCCGUAGCUGGUCUGAGAGGAUGAUCAGCCACACUGGAACUGAGACACGGUCCAGACUCCUACGGGAGGCAGCAGUGGGGAAUAUUGGACAAUGGGCGCAAGCCUGAUCCAGCCAUACCGCGUGGGUGAAGAAGGCCUUCGGGCUGUAAAGCCCUUUUGUUGGGAAAGAGAAGCAGCAGGUUAAUACCCCGCUGUUCUGACGGUACCCAAAGAAUAAGCACCGGCUAACUUCGUG
rnacentral:rRNA from 1 species